GAUGAACGCUAGCGACAGGCUUAACACAUGCAAGCCGAGGGGCAGCAUAAAAGUAGCAAUACUUUGGUGGCGACCGGCGCACGGGUGAGUAACGCGUAUGCAACCUACCUAUCAGAGGGGAAUAACCCGGCGAAAGUCGGACUAAUACCGCAUAAAACAGGGGCACCGCAUGGUGAUAUUUGUUAAAGAAAUUCGCUGAUAGAUGGGCAUGCGUUCCAUUAGGUAGUUGGUGAGGUAACGGCUCACCAAGCCGACGAUGGAUAGGGGAACUGAGAGGUUGGUCCCCCACACUGGAACUGAGACACGGACCAGACUCCUACGGGAGGCAGCAGUGAGGAAUAUUGGUCAAUGGGCGGGAGCCUGAACCAGCCAAGUCGCGUGAAGGAAGAAGGAUCUAUGGUUCGUAAACUUCUUUUGCAGGGGAAUAAAGUGCAGGACGUGUCCUGUUUUGUAUGUACCCUGAGAAUAAGGAUCGGCUAACUCCGUGCCAGCAGCCGCGGUAAGAC
rnacentral:rRNA from 1 species